UCACUUCCAACUUCACGCAGGUACAAAAGCUUUAAGGCAGCGCUGCAAAACAUCAGAGAUCUGCGUUGUAGGGAGGCUUCCUACACCCGAACGGAUUGGUAACCUGGAGAAGAGAAGUCACCGCUGCUCUGCCAAGUGCAGCGAGGUUUUCGUAAAACCCCGGCUUGCAGCUUCUAAAAUCUGGAACCUUUCCACGUAAAUUCUGGCUGUCCUUGCUCCAAGAAUCGGUAUGGAGCUGUUCUCACAUCUCGUUUACACUCUAAACUUCCGAUCGAUCAGGUGGAGCUGCUGGAAUGGCCGGAGCAAGUGCUGGUUAGCGAGUCCGAAACAAACACUCUACUCUGCUGCCUCCAGGAACUCUUCCUCGCCAGGGACCGCCUAGAGAACGACAUCCUAGGCACCGCAGAGCCUGGCGCUGUGGAUCGCCUGAGAUUGGCGCUGGCAUCCAACUUGGGCCGUGCCAUCUUGCAAAGCUGAUCGUUUCUACGAAGGUAGGAUUUCUUCUUGAACUGUACAAUUCAGAAGCGUGAGUCUAAUUAAGCAAGUAGUUUGACCGUAGAACUUCGCUAAAAGUCAACUUUUAGUCAACAGAGUCUUCAGUUAUUGGAAGUGUUAGCUUUUCAUUGAUUUUCAUACUUGAACUCAGCAAUUAAUCUAUACAUAUAUACGGCUACAUUGAUUUGUUAGUCACCCUCAAAACCCAGCACUAAUGUCGGGUUUUUAAAGCUUAAGCUGUUUUUUAAGUUGAAUAAUUUAUCAUGCCUUAAAAGCAUAUGAAACAAUUGUCUGCAUGGCAGCAUUGGGUCAAAAGCUAAACUACUGCACCAAAGGAGGUUUGGUGUUUUCUACUAUGUUAGGCAUUAAGUCAGGAUAAUAGAAUAAAGAAAUGGCAUUACACACCCCUUUACUCAGUUGGGUUUAAGGUAGGAUUGUAACAUUAAUAUUGGAGCUUAAUUCAAUUUUUUAUGGCUAACAAGUGGGGCUCUGAAAUAAUAUUUAACAUGGUGGAUCUAAAGGAAGAAGCAAAGUCUAAUAGAUCCUAAAAAAAGGUGACAGGAGGGUGAUUCUUCUUCUAGUGUACACUUCUGAAAGUGAAUUGCAAUGGCAACCAUGGCGACAAUGCAGGGAGCCUUUGGUUCAUUGAAGGAGAUUGGUGACAUUGUGGCGAAUUUUGAUUUCAGCAAGGUAAAGUGGAACCUGUCUUGCCCAAAGCAGUGCUUAACUCCUUGUGGAAUGCUCCAGAGUGAUGUGCGUUCCAAGAGUUCUGAGGAUUACCUCCACACCAACCUGGCACCAUCGUUUGGGGCAUUGAAUGCAGAAACAGUGAAGAAGAUGGAUGAGGUUCUCAAGGUUUGCAUCUCGGGAACCACCACUCUUCUCGCCAAAGUGCCACCAGAAGAGCGAACUUGGGAGAAGGUCAACUCCAUGUUCAUGCAAAAUCCCUUGGUUGAGCCAAUGGGCGAUGGGGUUAACAGAGCUGACAAGUUUCUCAACAAACUCACAAAGGAUCACAUUUUUUAUGGAGUUAUUGUGAAAGCAGUAAUAGAAGUUAUAUAUUAUAGAAGAGCUCUAUUAACCUUUGCUGCCUUCUCUCGUCACAGCUUCAGACCUGGUUUGUGAAUCUGAUUGCAGAUGAGGACGUCCUGAAAUCAACCAAGAUCGACAUAAGUUCUUUGGGAAAUUCUUGCUCAGUCUGCCAAGCAUGAGCACCACGAGAAGACCAUAGUUGACAUCGUGGUCUUAAGGUACCCUAAUAUGCAAAACGUACUUCAAGGUUUGUGCCCAGGCUGCCCUUUGUAUUUCAGUCACAGCUCAUGCUUAUGAGUACAGGUGUACCGCAUCAAACUCUUUGCUUGGUCUGAUAGCAACCGUAUUCUGUUCCAUCAGGAGGAUUCCAAUGGCAUCACUGGAGGUGAGGUGUCUAAUGUAAACCACUGAAAACUGCACGGUCCUUUUGUUCUAUUUGCAGAGUUCACCUUCCGUAAGUUUAAGCCACGCAAGGAGGUCAUUGACAAGAUGAACCCAGACGCCAAAAAGAAGGCUGUGGAAGCUGCAGAUAACAUAUUUGGUUUCUAAUAUCCAGGCUGUGUCAAUUGAGCCAAGAUGCCCCCUGCUUCAAGCUAAAACAUAUUUCUAAAUAAUAAUCAAGUCAUAUCCCCUCAUGACUUUCAUUUACUUGAAAAUAACAGUCUUUAUAUUUUUUAACCUCAAUUUCUGAAAAAAAACGUUCAGGGAAACAACACAAACUACAAUAAAAGUAAUAAAUAUCUAAAACCUAGAUGCUUUGAAGUACUUUUGUCAAUGUAGCAAAUUUUUGCCUUCCACUGGAACAUUGAAAGGUGAUGAUAAGUUUAUCUAUCUAUCUAUAUACUGUUUAUAGUCUUGUGGUGCCCAUCAAGAAGCAUAAGUAUUCUUUGUGAUAUAUUAAUAAAACAAAACAAGAGACAUUAUCAUUAUCCUGUUGGUCUCUGUAAAUUCUUCGCGCUCAAGGUAAGUUACCACAAGUUAGCCAGGGACACGCUCAAUCAGCUCUAAGCCGAGUUGAUGGCUCGGCUGUGAGUGCCAUUUGGCUCUCUAUCUAGUGCCGGAUUUUCCCAUCCUAUUGCUUUGAUGCAAAUGACCCCAGGAACACUGUGGCAAUAAUAUUGUAGAGCAACAAGGUCUCUCAGACAAGGUAAUAUUUAAAUUGACUUUGACAAGGAACAAAACUUCGAGAAUAGAACUUCAGAGAAUGCUACUGGGCGUUUUUGUUGCAAACGACUUGGCACAGUGCAGCCAGUGCUGAUGGAACAAAGGCAAACCGUUGAGCUUUUCCUCCUGUAACUCACGAACUUUGUCGUGAGCAUAUUGUAAGUUUCCUUUGGCAAAUGCCUACGUACUGAUCAGUUGUUUCAGGCUAUUUCGGCAGCACAUCACAGGUGUGACAUCUCCUGCUAUGGUCCUAGAGAUCUACUCCGGGAGUAGAUUUCUCGCUUGUUCAAGACGAUCCAGAUGUUAAGACAGUUGUAAAUUUUUAGAUUAAUUGUUCCUAGUGUUCCUCUAACAUGGUGCUGUUUGGGUUUGAAAUCUGGUAAGCUAAAUGCGCAGGCCAUGCAUUUUGUAGAAUGUAUCCAAUCUUUCCAAAACAGCAACUUCCCUUUUUUCUUUUCUUACUUUCUUGUCCAGCUGAGAACACCUAUAGUUUCAUAAUAAAAACCAUUACAUUCUAGAAAAUCCAUUAAAAAGGAAAUGCAUGUUUCAUUGGAUGAAUGGAAAGAAACAGAAGCUUCAUUCCCAGAUGCAUCUCUCCAGAUAUGACAGACAUGACGAGGUAGUAGCAAAAAAUUACAAACACAAUAGUUCCUAGCAAGCCUGAAAGGAAGGAAACAAUUCCCGGCAUUGUCAAGCUGAAUAAAAACUUGUUCAGAAACGAAGGAGUUGGAGGAUUAACAAGCAUGAAAAAAAUGAUGUGGAGAAGCCAAAUUAAAGACAAAGCCAAAUUGCAACAAGAGAAAUAAUAAGAUUGAAUCUUUUUCUCAAGGACUUUCUUACCCGAAAAUGCCAAAAACAAGCUUGGCUAGGUAGAAGAGAACCAUUGUGUCUGCCUGAGAGAAAACCAACAGUAGAAUCAACACAAAACUUAAAUGGUAAACUAGAAUGGUACUUUCUCUUGCUGUGGGAAUGCCUUGUUCAGAACUUGAACAUCAUCUAAAAAGGAAAUCACUGCAACACACUUUACUUCUCUCCCCUUAAGCCAAUUGGAAAAGAAGCAAUUAUUUGAUUUAGUGGCUAUUUUAUCCCUAUUUAUCCCCCAAGAUUCCAAGGAUCCAUAGUGACAGUAUAUCUAAAUCUCAUCCCAUGAUCACAUGUGUUAUACUCACCCCCCUUUCAAAAAUGUUAAUAUCCUCAUUGACUAUUGAUUAACAACCCCUACUGAGCCAAGGGAAACUAACACCUUCAUUUCUACAUUGAAUCUACCAAUCCUUCUAUGGUGUAGACUAGUUAUUCCAUGUGAGGCAACUAGUCAUCCACCCUAUUUAUUCCCCAAGGUUCCAUAUGAGGCAAUUAGUCAUCCACCUUAUUUAUCCCCCAAGGUUCCAAGGAUCCACAGUGACAAUAUAUCCAAAUCUCAUCAUAUGAUCACAUGUGUUACAAUCAUAUCUUCUAAAAAAUAAAACAUAAAACAACAUUACCAUGAAGAGUAUUGAUCCUAUUAUUGUGUUUAAUGCGAUCACGUAAGUUGGGAAGGGUGCACGCACAGACCACGUAGUUUUAACCAGAGAUCCAGACGUAUAAGCUACACACUGUCACACAAUAUUGCCAGAUGAAUGAAGAAAGGGAAAAUGUAGAAGAAAAGGCUUACCAUGAGAGUAACAUUAAAAGGCAAUGAGAAACCAGUCGAAAACAAGCAUGGAGCCUUUGCAUUGAACAAGCUAAAAUCAUUGGUGAACGCCAGCGUCGUGGAUGAAAGACGUCUCACGGUGAAAUUGGCAUAGCCGAUCACAGCUUCAAGCAAUCACGUAGAAGAAGGGUUUAAGAACAAAAGAUGGAAAAGAGCUUCUUACCAUAGAGAAUUCCCAAGAGGAGGCAGAAGACUGUGAGGAGUAUCACCACCCACAAGAGAGCGUUCUUUACCCUUUGUGUCACAGUCCUGGAAAUCACCAAGAACAAAGAAAAUUUUUGAGAUCAUGGAGGAAUAGAAAGAACUUAAGAAACUCUAGGAGGAGCUCGGUCGAUCAAGUGUUCUAAGAACAAGAACAAAGAGAUGGAAGAUUACUUCUCCUAGAAGAAGAUUGUGAAAGGCAAAAUGUAGAAAAAAAGGCUUCCCAUGAGAGUAACAUUCGAAGACAAUGAGAAACCAGCCUGUUCAGAAUGUAGAUAUUGAUCGCGAAGACGGCAGCACUACAUUGUACUCCAUCUUUCACCAGACCACACGCCCAAGAACCCUAAUUUCAACGGCUGGGAUUUGAUCCAGCGCUUAAGGAUUUUAGCUUUGGGCGCGCGAUAUCGGGGAUCGGGCCCCUCGAGGAGCUGGAACGGGGAGCGAAAUGCCGGUGGCGAUGGAUCCUCCAGCUCCUCGGCCGUGGUAAUCUAUAGCGUGCCGGGCGGAUUGAGGGAUCCAGGGCGAUUGUGGGUGUCGUGGAGCAAUGGGAACCAGCUCCAGCUCUCUUAUAGCGAGAAUGCUGUGGGAGGCGGUGGAAGAGUCACGGAGAUUCAUCUGGGAGAAGGAUGGGAUGCGAGAGGCGGCGACUGGCGUAUGAUUCUCUCCCGGCUUUUGCUCUUCUCCAGAACCAGCGGCAAUUGGGCUACAACCCAGGCGCCUGGUAUGAAAAAUUCUUCAUUUUUUCUCUAGAAACGCUAGUUGUGAUCGCAGGUGGGAGCAUGUUUUAGAAUAUAACAAGAGCAUUCGCAGCGUUCUCGACCAGCCCACCCAAGGCAAGGUUAGCCAUUGUAUCAUGCGUGAGAGGAUGAUGUGAAAGAUUUAUUUGAUUGUUUUUUUUCUUGCAGGAGGAGAAGUCCUCGAUGCUUAAGGCUGUGUGGGAGCUCAUAGAAGUUUUCUAUGUGGACAGAAGCGCGACAUGGUGGCUUCCGGAGAGUCUUGUAGAUUGGCUGGCGGUAAGAAGCAGUGAGUUUUUUCUUGACUUAUGAUUCAUUUGCCUGUGAGCUUUGCAGGAGUAUGACAGGAGUCCUCUUGAGUGAUGAAGACACUUUACAUUCCAAGGUAGUGUCGUUCCAGCAGAAGCUUUCCGAGAUUCAAGUAAGUUCGAAGUCUUGCAGCUUUUUGUUUUCUCUUUGUGUAUCAUUCUUUAACGUGCACUUGCAGUUUCGGCCUUGUCAGUCGGAUGGCUUGACGUUGUUGGACUGUCCGUGUAAGUUCAAUUGGUAAUCUUAAUCUUCCAGAUAGCGUUCUUGCGGAUGCAUGGAUCGUAUCGAUUGGAUCAACUUGAUGACCGGCAGGUUUCUUUCUCCAUGCUGUUUUGUUGGACUUGCGUUAACUUCCGGAUGCUUUUUUAUGUCUUGGCAGACUGAAAAUGGCCUCGUAGAAGCAGCUACACUGCUCAUUAUGCAAAUGCCGCGGCUGUGCCCGAGGCUCCCUGAUGGAAGUCCUGGUGUUGCUAUAGGUUUUAAGCCUGACUUUUCUAAGGUUUGAUGUGGUUGCAGCAAAGUUUUUAGUUUCUCAGAUUUUAUUACAUGCAGGCAAGGGGAAAAUGGCGAAGUCAGGUUUCCAAGCUUGAAAAUAGUGUGUUUUGGGCGGAAUGCAACCACCGUGGGACGCUUCUUGGUCUUAAGAAGCUAAUACAGGUGCUAUUGGGAAACGUUGAUGUUCUACAGCUCUCUACGUUUCACUGGAUGGAGCUGCUGGUGGCCUUUUUCUUUGGUGUGUAUGAACUGUGUAGUGUGCUAAGUUCACUUGCAAUUAUCGGGUGCAGGUCUUAGAUGGAAUGCGUAGCAUAGCUUCCAAGUGCAAAGGAUUGAAAAGUUCUGGGGACGAAGACCUUCAAGAACUUUUAUCUGCAGUUAUCAGCAACGACACCGAGGUAAAUGCUCUUCCCCGUCACAGUGGAGUUUAAUCUAGUACUAUACAGAUACUCUUGGCGAAGUGUUGGAAGGUUUUCAAUGCCUGGUAAGAACUUCUCAUGUCGAAUAUUUACAUAAAUUUUCUAUCAGGAUGAUGGCGCAUGUUAAAGGGGAGGACGUUCGAUAUCUUCUUGAAGAAGACAGGAAAACUCUAGGCGGCUUUGAAAGAACUCCAUCGUUUGGUUUAUUCUCAAGUACUGUCUUCGCACAGCUUAACCUUUGAUUUCUUUGUUCUUGAUGUCUGUCUAACAAUUAUCUCAGCUAGCACCUGUUUACCUCGCGGCUUGCCCAAAGCAAGGCCUGGGAUUGAAGCUCUCCUAAUGAAGCAGAGUUGUUCCAAUCAGAAACUGGCAUUGAAUGUUGGUCUUGGUGUGACGAUUUCUUGAAUCUCAAUGUGAAUUUUGUGCAACAGGCACUAGAGAUAUGCCGCCUCUAUGAACUUGAUACCGUGAGCACAGCCAUCGCCAGGGUUUAGUAUCCUCUUCCUUUCCAGGCUUGGGGUUGUCACCUGUGUUUUAUGUCUUCCAGGCUGUUGGUGUUCAUAGUUUUAAAACAUGGAAAGAAGGGCCAAGGGAUAAUGUGGCUUAAUUGGCCCGAGACGAGCAGAGGCUUUCUGAUCUUGCAGAUAGCUUUUGAACACAAUAACGUCUGGUGAAGCUGAUAAUCUGGAUAAUCUCGAGGUGACUUCUAACUUCACGCAGGUACAAAAGCUUCAAGGCAGCGCUGCAAAACAUCAGAGAUCUGCGUCGUAGGGAGGCUUCCUACACCGAAAACCUCGCUGCGCGAGGCAGAGCAGCGGUGACUUCUCUUCUCCAGGUUACCAAUCCGUUCGGAACUUCUUCUUGCUCACUAAAACCCCGGCUUGCAGCUUCUAAAAUCUGGAACCUUUCCACGUAAAUUCUGGCUGUCCUUGCUCCAAGAAUCGGUAUGGAGCUGUU
rnacentral:lncRNA from 1 species